rnacentral:rRNA from 1 species
UACGAAGGGGGCUAGCGUUGCUCGGAAUCACUGGGCGUAAAGGGUGCGUAGGCGGGUCUUUAAGUCAGGGGGGAAAUCCUGGAGCUCAACUCCAGAACUGCCUUUGAUACUGAAGAUCUUGAGUUCGGGAGAGGUGAGUGGAACUGCGAGUGUAGAGGUGAAAUUCGUAGAUAUUCGCAAGAACACCAGUGGCGAAGGCGGCCGACUGGUCCGGUUCUGACGCUGAGGCGCGAAAGCGUGGGGAGCAAACAGG